AGGCCUCAAAUAAUGUGUGACUACCCCUAAAUUUAAGCAUAUUAAUAAGGGAGGAAAGAAAACUAACCAGGAUUCCCUGAGUAGCUGCGAGCGAAACGGGAAGAGCUCAGCACGCAGGGGUGACGCACUGUUGCGCGUCCACCCGGUUCAUUGUACUGGAGCGUUCGUUAUCUGCCGUAACCGGUCGCUGGUUCAAGUUCAACUAGAAUGUGGCUUUUACUCCCAGAGAGGGUGAUAGGCCCGUAGAGCGGCGCACCGACGGUAGAAGGACGCUCCAUGGAGUCGUGUUGCUUGAUAGUGCAGCACAAAGUGGGAGGUAAACUCCUUCUAAAGCUAAAUAUCACCACGAGACCGAUAGCGAACAAGUACCGUGAGGGAAAGUUGAAAAGCACUCUGAAUAGAGAGUCAAAAGUACGUGAAACUGCCUAGGGCUCAAGCCCGUUGAACUCGAUUAUCCGAGCGGAGACAUUCACCUGCGGGGCUGGCCUUCCCAUCCAAACAACGAGGGCCGGCGCCGCAGGGCACUUGUCUCUCCCGCGCACGAGGACACUGCGAUCCAUUACGAAACAGCUUUCGCGUUCCACUGGGACGCGCAGGUCGCCCGACAGUUGCCCCCUGGUGCUUCCCCCGGUUGCUUGCCCCACAGUAGCGACGCUCAGUUCCGAAGGCCUGUGCCGCGAGGUGGGGCUUACUGCACGUGGUGUGCAGUCGGGCGCGUGAUGGAUUCCCACGAGUACGACGCGGUGCCUUUACACGGCACCGCGGACCGUCGAUCGGCAGUGAAAGAAUCGAGGUACCUCCGGGACCCGUCUUGAAACACGGACCAAGAAGUCUAUCUUGCGCGCGAGCCAAUGGUCGUGUCUCCUUGAGCACCAAAGGCGCAGAAAACAUAACUUGCCUUGUUCUGCGGGAUUACGGGCGCGGCUCUCUGCUCGUCCCUCCAUCCCCGGGUGUUGUACCCGGCAUGCGGGGCCGUUCCGGGGUGGUGCGUUCAUCGUGCCACACCGCCGGCACCGUGCCACAACAUACCGCGAGUGCGCAGGAUGUGACCCGAAAGAUGGUGAACUAUGCCUGAUCAGGUUGAAGUCAGGGGAACCCUUAGGUAUGUCCGAAGCAGUUCUGACGUGCAAAUCGAUUGUCAGAAUUGUGCAGAUGGGCGAAAGACCAAUCGAACCAUCUAGUAGCUGGUUCGCCCCGAAGUUGACCUCAGAAUAGCUGGAGCACGCAACGUUUCGCAGCCUAUUCUUAUCUGGUAAAGCGAAUGAUUAGAGGCCUUAGGUUCUAAAUGAACUCAACCUAAUCUCAAACUAUAACUCGGUACGUACCCUGGCAUUCUUGCAUGAUGCCAUUGCAACGUUGUGACGCCGGCCGGACCCCCUGCCUUCGGGCUUCGGUCUCGGGCGUAGAAGAUAUCUGUGUGCUUAGUGGGCCAAGUUUUGGUAAGCAGAACUGGUGCUGUGGGAUGGACCAUACGUAAUGUUACGGUGCCUAAAUAAACGACGCAUCAUAAAUACCAUGAAAGGUGUUGAUUGCUACAAGCAGCAGGACGGUGGACAUGGAAGUUGUCAUCCGCUAAGGAGUGUGUAACAGGCUCAUCCGAAGCAAUUAGCCCUUAAAAUGGAUGGCGCUUAAGUCGUUUGCCUAUACAUUACCGCUGGCGUACAAGUGGGCCUUGGCUUGGUGGCCCUUUGAGACGCCAGCGAGUAGGAGGGUCUGGUGGUGUGCGUUGAAGUGCCUGGCGUAAGCCGACAUGGAGCCGCCACUAGCACAGAUCUUGGUGGUAGUAGCAAAUAUUCGAAUGAGAUCUUGGAUGACUGAAGUGGAGGAGGGUUUCGUGUCAACAGCAGUUGAACACGAGUUAGCCAAUCCUAAGCUCUAUGGGAAACCUGAUAUAUAUUAAGCAUUUAACCAAAUACAACCUCGCUGCUGCUGCCGCUGCUGUUGUUGAUGCAACCUACCGAAGAUAUAUAUUGAACGAGCGAAGGGAAUCCGGUUACAAUUCCGGAGCCUGUUGGGUAUACGUUUGCAUUGGCGUCCCAUACCGGCAACGGUAGCGCCUUUGUAAUCAUGGCAACAUGAAUCCUUUUCUUCGAGAAGCCAACAAGAGACAUCGGAAGAGUUCUCUUUUCUGUUUUACAGUCACACUAGCCAUGGAAGUCUUUCAUAGAGAGAUAUGGUUGGACAGGCUGGUAGAGCAUGGUAUUAAAUUGCUGUGUCGAUGUUCUCUUCUUGGACCUUGAAAAUCGAAGACUGGGGCACGCAAACUCCCAACAGCUUGUACCGAAUCCGCAGCAGGUCUCCAAGGUUUAGAGUCUCUAGUCGAUAGAUUAAUGUAGGUAAGGGAAGUCGGCAAAUUAGAUCCGUAACUUCGGGAUAAGGAUUGGCUCUGAAGACUGGGAUGGCUCGGGGCUAUACCCUCGCCCGUGUGUGCGCUCGCGCCCGGCCGCUGCCGUCCGUGGGUGUGUGUGCGUUCGCGCGCCCACCUCACCGGGCCAGGCGG